rnacentral:snRNA from 1 species
AUACUCUGGUUUUUUUUCAGAUCGCAUAAAUCUUUCGCCUUUUACUAAAGAUUUCCGUGGAGAGAAACGAUUCUGGGUUUUAAUCAAUUUAAACAAGGCUUUACAUAUGGUUU